GUUAGCAUCAUUUCCACACAGUGACGACAGCAGCGGCGGCGCUGCCUCCGUCCACUCCUCCACCUGUCUGUGGUCCUGUCAACAGACACCUGUCAGUUUGUGUGGACGUGGUGGAUUUAACACCUCUGCUGAUUGACACCCCAGGCCUCCCAGCAGGGGGGGCACUGUGUGCAGACGCAGCUGGUAAUUCACUCCACGUCACACCUGGUUCACGAGGACGACAGGAAGUGGACGUCAUGGUCCACUCACCGUUGACUACGGUGUGUGUCACUCAACCAGGAAGUCUACUCAGGAAGACGGCCACAUUCCCAGAGUUUGGCUGCUGCUCCUGUUAUUCUUCCUGUGCUGUUUGCCCCACUCGCAGCUGGAGGGACCGGACGACCGAUCUGGAAAAGUACUUUACGAACAUGUGACUGGUGAUUACAGGGCGGCAGCGCGGGGUCGUACGCGGACCAAUGACAGCGUCGUCUCAGAGAGAGAGAGAGGGAAAUACAGCAGCCCUGACUCACCCACAGCCCCCCCUGCUGACUCCCUGUCAGCGCUCUUCCUGUGGAGGACCUGAAGAGGAAGCUCCACCAGGUCACCUGAAGGGGUCACUGUUCCCAACAACUUUCCAUUUCUGCCUUUAUUUGUUGGACUCACGUCACAAACGGCCGUGUAAACAAACAGUCCAGAAAGAAUUCACUCACUUUUGAUUUUUUUCCCUUUC